UCUUCGGAGUUGUGGGUGGUUUCGAGAUCCCAGACGAGCCCCCAAAUGAAAGACCACCGGGGUGGGGAAGACCCCCCCACUCAAAUCUCGAGACAACGCAACCCCCAAGAACUCACGAGAAACC
rnacentral:pre_miRNA from 14 species